GUAUAAGAGACAGCAGCAGCCGCGGUAAUACAGAGGGUGCGAGCGUUAAUCGGAUUUACUGGGCGUAAAGCGUGCGUAGGCGGCUUUUUAAGUCGGAUGUGAAAUCCCUGAGCUUAACUUAGGAAUUGCAUUCGAUACUGGGAAGCUAGAGUAUGGGAGAGGAUGGUAGAAUUCCAGGUGUAGCGGUGAAAUGCGUAGAGAUCUGGAGGAAUACCGAUGGCGAAGGCAGCCAUCUGGCCUAAUACUGACGCUGAGGUACGAAAGCAUGGGGAGCAAACAGGAUUAGAGACCCCGGUAGUCCCUGUCUCUUAUAA
rnacentral:rRNA from 1 species